GCGAGAAUUCUUCCCGCAAUGGGACGAAAGUCUGACGGAGCAACGCCGCGUGAGCGAUGAAGGCCUUCGGGUCGUAAAGCUCUGUUGUUAGGGAAGAACAAGUGCUAGUUAAAUAAGCUGGCACCUUGACGGUACCUAACCAAAAAGCCACGGCUAACUACUUGCCACCACCCGCGGUAAUUAAAAAAA
rnacentral:rRNA from 1 species